AUGCAGCGACAAACACUUUCACUCAGCAACAGCCUGCCACACUGCCUGAUAGUUAACAACAGCCUGCCACACUGCCUGAUAGUUAACAACAGCCUGCCACACUGCCUGAUAGUUAACAACAGCCUGCCACAUUGCCUGAUAUUCAGCAACAGCCUGAUAGUUAACAACAGCCUGAUAGUCAGCAACAGCCUGAUAGUUAACAACAGCCUGCCACACUGCCUGAUAGUCAGCAACAGCCUGAUAGUCAACAACAGCCUGCCUAAUAGUCAGAAACAGGUCACAGUGAAAUAGAUGGUUUUGUUGUUGAAACGCCAAAAUGUUGGUAGAAGUUGCCCAAAAAAUACCGCGACCAAUACAUUUUCACUCGUGACAUGGUUGAACCACCGGGAAAACGCAGUGACAGAGGAGCGCCCUCUCAAACAGAACAGUAAUCUGCGACGCUCGGCCAUGUUGUCAACAAGGAAGCAUGAUGCAUUGCCCAGAAAAAUACUUACAAUAUAUAUUUGAAUUUUCAAACUAGUCACUCUGUCACUUUUGUUUUGAAACCGACUAAGCCGUGGGUUUUGAAUGGGGCUCCUGGCUCAUGCCUGGGAUUGCAUUCCAUAACGAAUACAAUCAACUUUUGACCCGGUGUAAAUAAGGCAGCAUGAAUAAUACGUGAUGCUGAAAGGCUAGGAUGGCCGCGGUGCAAUUUCAAGCAGGGGAGAUUUUUACAUGACACAUGAAUCGAGUCCCGUCAAUGUCCGCAAAGAGGGAGGGACUAUAACUCACGUUUGGAUAGCUCAAUAACCAAUCAAAAAACGUGUUGUGAAACACCAUCAGCCGCCAAACCCCACACAUAGAAAGUCACAUACCAGUCGACGGUCAAAGAGCGGCCCCUGUUGGAUGUUUUAAGUAACGCUUCCUAAUAAUAAUGAUUAUUUCACCUUUAUUCCAGUAGGAGGCGAUAUAGAAGUCAGUGUUUGCGGCGUCUUUCCAUAAAGAAACAUUUAUUUCAGUAGUUUCCUGAGCUGAAACGAACAGAAAACAAUUACAGUUCAUUGAUUAUACUACAGACAUUAAGUCAUAUCGCCAACGUUUCACACACAUUGUAUGGACAGUCCGGGACAUAUCUAUUUCCUGUACACGUGUUCGAGCUAGAAGAAGAAGAACAACAUCGAACGGAUUUACAAGAGGAAAAUUAACACGUCAUUUUUAAAAACAAAAAAAAUCCAGCUCAAAAAGACUGUGUCCCGCUAUAUUGCUCAGGCUGCACCACAGCGUCUAUUCACAGGCGCGAUCCCACUACUGAGCGGCACGGGGGCUUUGGCCUGCUCCGUUUCCGACCUGGGCCGGUGCACCCCUCCUUAGACGACCUGGUGGUCCCGGGCUCCCCCAGGAGCACCAUAUCGAUACCGAACUUAGUGCGGACACCCGAUCGGCAUAGUCCACUGGAGCUCAGAACUCCUGAGCUCAAACGAUCCGCCAGCCUAAGCCUCCCAGCAACUUGGAUUACAGGCGCACGCCACUGCGCCCGGCGAGAAACGAGAGGAUUUUAAAGGCAUUUGAAGUUAAAUUCGUGACGUCACACCACGCGUCACACAGUUUAUAUGAUUGCAUAACGAUCUCUUGUGGUGGCAUAUAGAAUUGCAGCGGUGUUCAAAUUUAAUUUUGUCUCGAGCUGUGCUCAAAGCUUGCUCACUUGUUAUGGGUGACCCAGUAUGGUAUGUUCUGUAUUGCCGCAUUCAAGACAAACUUGGGAACUCGGAAAUCUCCGACUUCUGACUUAAGUGCAUUACAAGACGACUGGGAACUCGGGAAAAGAAAGGAGUUCGACUGGAAUCUUUUUGUUGGAACAGUCAUCCUGCUCAGAAUUCCAAGUUGGAAACUGGGGCAUCUUUCUAGAGCUCCAACUAUCCAACCUGGAGAUUACUGACAUCAUGGGAUUAUUGACGUCAGGAGUGGGAGGGCCAAGAGACCAGACAGAGGUGGCUGUACAGAACGGAGUGCUCAGGUUAGGGUGUAGGGUUUGAACAGAGCCUGAAGGUAGGGAGGGUCGUUCCUCUUGCUGUUCCAUAGGUAAACACCAUGGUCUUGUAGUGGAUGUGAGCUUCUUGUGGAAGCCAGUGGAGGAGUGAGGAGGAGCAGGGUGACACGGGAGAACUUGGGAUGGUUAAACAUCAGGCGGGCUACAAAGUUGCUGGGGUUUGAUGGCACAAACCGGGAGCCCAGUCAACAUUGAUACCAGUACAUCAUGUAUAUGAGGCUAACCGUAAGACAGAUUUGCUACAUGAUCUUUCUGACUUGAAAUUGAUUAGUGCAAAUCCAACCCUUGUAUUCUAGGUACUGAACUGGACAUAGAAAUAGGGAUGAUUUGCAUGAAUUUGAGACCCUGGUUUGAUUCCAUCUAUCACAGUGGUCUAAAUCGCUGAAUCUCAGUGCUAGAGGUGUCACUACAGACCCUGGUUUGAUUCCAUCUAUCACAGUGGUCGAAAAUCGCUGAUCUCAGUGCUAGAGGUGUCACUACAGCCCUGGUUUGAUUCCAUCUA
rnacentral:lncRNA from 1 species